AUUACAAGAACAGCCUUCACAAGUUGUGCGUACAUGGUUGUGUACCACCGAGGACUGUGCUAAUGAGGUCAUGAUAAUGGGUCAGACAGUGGACCAGGAGAUAUCUGGGGACUGGUGUCAGACAGAGGGAGUCUUUAAUAUUGACGUCUCCAAUAAGACACUCGACUUUACUCUGCGAUUGGAAAGAAGUUUAUGGAUAGACAAUGCUAAUUCUGUUGUUGUUGGAGGCUGUGGCCCUAUGUGGAUCUUGGGUCAGGUCUGACACGGGGACAGUCAACCGUUCUCCACAGACCACUGUUGUACCUCUGAUGCGUGUACCUGCUAAUUGUCAAAGAGAUUUCACCUGUUGUCUUUGAUCCAGAUGAGGAUA